GCUGCUUACCUAAGUGGAUGAUUGAUGGCUUUGCUUCAGUUGACAUUUCCAUUUUAUUUUCAGGUUCUUGAAUGAAAUUAAACCCAAUCAGAUCAGCUCUUGGGGCUCAGAAGAUGCUGCCUGUUAUUUUCAGAGGUAUGAGAAAGUUGGACUAAGGAAGACAAGAAGUGAUCAACUUUCGAGCAAGACACCAGAGUUUCCAAAAUCAUGAC
rnacentral:lncRNA from 1 species